rnacentral:sRNA from 1 species
AGCCCCUCUCAGGUGUAUUUAGGUCCCUGAGGUCUGAGUGCAUUGAUGGUGUUUGGGGUUCAGGGUAGGGUGUGAGGAUUCUGAAGACGUCGGGUCUUGGGAGAAACAAGGAGGCAAAGCUGGAGCGUUGCUUCCAGAUCCCCAGAUGUUCUAAACAUCAGGCGAUUAGCACUGGGUGCUUGGGAGUCCUGAGCAGAUGCUUGGAGACCACAAGAACUGGGGGCAGGGAUGAGUCUUUAAGACAGCCGGCAAGAGAGAAGCUUAAAAACAGUCCCGGAGUGUCAGGGUAAUCGGCUCCUGCUGGCUCUCUCUGCUGGGGUGCUGCUGACUGGAAGGGAGAUAAUUUACCUCUAAGAGGCUUUGUGGCUCCACGCGGCUGUCUGUGCGCCAGAACACAGGUGCCCCUGGCCUUAACUUAGUGAUCUGGCGCCACCACCCACCCAACCGGCCCGGUGCUGUGGGGACAAGUGACCUCCUAGAAGAUCAGGGCCUCCUGAUGUCCUGUAAGUCCUUUGCCUGCCUUAUGACUUCUCUAAGCAGCUGUCAUAGCCAUCAGAUCUUCAGGAGAGAAGAGAGUGAAGAUAGUUACAGGAGUUAGGGUAGGGAGAAAGGCACUCUCCUCUGCCCAGGCAGGCACCUCCUUCUACCAUGCUCCAGACUCCCCUGCUUGCUGCCAGCAUCACAGCUGAGGAGGAGUGUCUCUUGCUGUCGAUACAGCAGCUAAGGAGUACGUACCCUCUUCAGAAAUCACACUGUCAACAGAUGAGUUUCAAGCCAAGAGCACACAGCCCUGGAGGUUGCAGGUAGGAUCUCCUUUAAAUGACUUGGGAUGAGCCCAGAUGUGUCAUGGUGGACAAACAUGAUGGACAUGGAGGCACUGGAGGUGACUCCUGACCAUCCAGGCAGAACUGAAGGACCUAGACCUGAGGUGGGAAGGACUGAGGAGUCUCUUUACUGUCUCCACAUAUUCAAAAUGGGGUAGAUUGGCUUAGAGGCCCAGGGACAGACACAAAGCUGGUGGGUGGAAGAAGCUGGGAACAUCUGUACAGAGGCGGGGGGGGGGGGGGAUCUAGUCUCAGUUCUUCUGUGUGGCUUGUUAUAAGUCACUUGCCCUCUCUGAACCUUAGUACCCUGUGAGAUUAUAUCUGAAGAACUUUCUAAUGCAGAGUGGAGGUGAGAAGUCCUUUUGUUGAAGCCCAUGAAGAGCAAGCAGAAGUCAAAGAUCAGGCCUCACUCUUCUGUGUCUUCUCCUUGGCCCUCUGUCUUGUUUCAUAAAGACGUGUGUGCAGAGAAGGAAAUACAUCUAUUCAAAGAUGGUCCCCCAGUCCCUGCCUCCAGGUUGUCUCCACAGUGUUGGUCCUUCUUGCUCAUUUUGUCACAAGCCUCCCUCCAGAUCACUUUUCCUAGAGCAGGCCACGUGGCUGUCAAGACCCUAACCGUUGCCUCCAACAGAUGAGCACAAUUUACUGGCUGCCAUUGUCACACAUUCCGUCAGUCUGAGCCUCACUCUCCCCAAGAUGUACCGGAAUCUUUCCCCAGAGUCCUUCUCCUGGCUCUGCAGCCAAGUCUCUCACUUGAAUCCCAACCUAUAUGUCAUUCCCAAAAUCAUGGCUCCCUUUGUACCGUCUUCCAACUCCUCCCUGUGCUCCUCCAUUUCAGGACGGUUCUCCCUGCAUCCUCUCUCACAGUACCCUGGUGAUCUGCUUCGUGGAAAAACACCAUCUGUAAUCUCAGCGUAAACUUGUCAACAUCUGUGGUUUUUGUCGCCGCCUCUGAAACGCAAGCUCCAGGGCUUUUGCUUUGCUCCAUACCGCAUUCCCAGUGCCUUGACCGGACAGCAGACACACAUGUUCGUCGAGUGAAUGAGUGAUAGUUGAUGCCUGGAGAGUCUCUAUUGCAUUGCUCAGUCUGUACAGACGCCAUCUCCCUCCCUCCUUUGAGGGACCACCUUCCCUCUUCCGUCUGUGUGGCUCCUUAGGUCUGUAUUCUUUCCGGGCACAGGGCCAGACCAAGAAUCACACCGCCUAUCAGAGCAUUCCCUCUCCCCCCAACUCCCUCUCUUUCUCUCUCUCUCUGGGAAUGCACAUGUUGCCGGGCUGGUUCUGGGAGCCCCCAACCUGAGAGGCUCGCUGCCAAGGUGAUGGGAUAUGGUCCUGUUGUUGCCAGUAGGGUAGUCCCUGGAAGACAGUCACUGAUAGGGAAGCCAGGUAAGAGAUGGAUGGGGGCAAGUUCCAGACAACAGCCUUCAAACAUCUGGAUCCAGAUGUGCCCGUCUUUCACUUCCUCAUCACAACCUUCUGCAAUUCCAAAAGUGGUCCAGGUCAUAAAUCUCAAAAUAACCUGGGCAAGAGUGCACACUAAUGGUGGAACACCAGUCCUGGGGCUCCAGGGCUUGCAGUUAUUCACCCUGCCACACUGCUUGUACAAAGCUUCAACUUUGUGUUGUGUCCGGAGAGGGAAAGGACGUGGGGUGCCUAGGAAAGUUCUCCACUUCUCAACUCAUUUGUAUAACCUGAGGAAGCAGGAGACCAUGCUCUAGACACAGCUACUACCGGGGUGUUGUGUCUGUAUCCUUUGGGUUCUCUUCGUGUUGGUGGGAUGCAGAUCAGCUGUUCAAAGGAACAACUCUUCAUCAUCAAAGAUUUCAAAUAUAAGUGGAGGUAGCAACAAGGAUUCAAACGUUCCAUUGCAUGCUCAUAAAUCAGCCCCAAUAAAUUCCUGGCCACCCCUGCUCCAUCUCUUUAUCCACCCACUCCUUCCUGCCUGCCUUCCCUCCCCUGAUUGCUUUCAAGCGUGUCAUUUUAUAUGGAAAUAUGUUAAUAUGCAUUUCUAGAUGAUAAGACUCCUUUAAAGAUAUAUCUGGUCUGCUGCUGGCAUCUCACUGGAGCAGGUCGUUCCAGUAAUGACUUCCAAGGAGCCUGACUCUUGGUCUAACACCCUUGAGAACUUCCCUCUGGCACUCCUUUGAGCUUGAUUGACAAGGAUCUGGAACUGCCUGAGAUCUGCUAAACUGGUAUUUGCUUCUCUACCAUGGAAUUCUGGCUUCACAAAGCAGAAGACAGCCAGAGGCCCUAUAACCUCCACAAUAAUCAGUCCAGUCUCUAUGCACAGGGCCCUGUGAGCAGUGACUCUUCAGGAUGUCCCAGCAUGGCUCCAUUUUGACCAGUACUCCAUUGCUACAAAGAAUUCUGCUAAACAGCGCUAGGUGGAAGAUUGAAAAGUCAUCCCUGAGACACUUUGAAUCCCUACCCCAUAGACCUUGAAGGUGUGGGGCCAGAGGGAAGAGGAGGCCUGAGAGGAACGACCUCACCAGGCUGCAGUUUUGAUUUGAUGAUGUCAUUUUAACUUCUAAAUGGCCACUGACAUUUCCUCUCUCACCCCACUUUUUUGUUUUCAUUUAAAAAAAUUCUUUUUCUACGCUUA